ACGCGACCCCAAACAUGGAGUUUUUUUUGUUUUUCUUAGUUCCAAAACAAUAAAUACAAACUCUGAAAAGCAUGAAAAUUGGCAUGUUGUGAUCAGAUGAUUCCUGUAGGGCAUGGUAAAAAUUUGAGAAUGUUUCGCCAAAGUUAUGAUGUACAUUGCUUCCAAAUCGAACCAUCCCCGAGAAGAAACACGGUUUCGAGAGAAAACGGGUCUACUUUGAGGUCGAAGCAACCGAUGCUUCAUCCGUUGGCAUUGAAAGUUUUUCUACACUCAAGAUACACGAUUACAUGAGCCAUGUCAAAAUUUGGCAUCUUUCAAAAUCUGUUUGCUAUAUUUAAGCUAUCAAGUGCAUUUCUAGAUAUUUAACGCAUAUAAUUCUAAUUCGAACGGCAAGUGGUUUAAAAGGUAUGAAAAAUUAUAUUUGUGUUCUUGAGUCUAUGUUUAGGCCUUAUACAAGAAAACGUAUACAAGAAAACGAAAAGAUUCCAAACAUGAGGGUGCCAAGACUUGACCCAGAUCAUGGAGUUUUUUGUUUUUUAAUUUCAUAAAAACGCAAACGAACACCGCAAAGCAUGAAAAUCCAUGUUGGAAAAUAUGUUCAUAUAUUUGCCUCCAAAUAAAGUAGAAAAAAUAGAUACCAUUUCAUUUAUCCAUGUCCAAGAAAAAAAAUUAAAUUUAAAAAAUAAAACUAAGAAAAUAAGCAAAGAAUCAAAUAAAAAAAAUAACUUAUGAGUUUUGGAACGAGGACCUCUCUACAUUACUAGUGCGAACAAACCACUUGUACUAAGCUGCGAUCUAGUCUAAUAAACACGCCGUACUCUGUUAUACUAGCCGAAGAAUUUUUUUAGCCUGCUGCGUUCUGAUUGGUGGAACCAGGCCUCCCACGGAUCACGCCUCUCCACCGUUCAUUCUUACUCGAUCCAACGGUCCCUACUCCUUCUACUAUCUAUUUGUGCUUUCGUUGGUACCUUAUCCUCUCACACGAAAACGAGCACCAUACCAGCAGCAGGCCAGCAGCGCACUCGAGUACCUUCUAGGCUCUCCGCCGCUGACCGCCGCCGGCUGCGCGACAGGCCGUCGCCCGCGCCUCCCACCGCAGCACGCCACAAUGGAGGCCGAGCGCCCAUGGCGUCACCCGAGGACACCUUCCAGCCGCCGUUCUCCUUCAAAUUCGUCGGGAUCCGGACGGAUCCGGAUGCCGGCGGCCCAUUCCCGACCUCCCUGCCUCGCCUGGUUUGUCGGCCACUCCGAUGUCGUCAUCUUCGUCACGGGAUCCAGCGCUACCGAUGGCUGGCCUCCUCCUCGCCUGGAUGUGACCCCCCCCACGCUGGCGCCUCCAAUCCGAGCAGCGGCAGCGAACACCUCGACAAGGGCAGUUUGCCAGAUCAGUGGCCAGAGAAAAGCCAUGGCGAUGAAGUCUGAUUGAUGACCCGCGAGCGCUCGGCGGCGCUUGAUGUGGUGGAUGCAGAAUCGUAUAGCUCCGGGUAGAGUAGUAGGCCAGAUCUGGAUAAAAAAUCUGUAAUUCCAUUUUUUGCUGUGUAUUUCUUCCUUUUUUGAUAAAGAAGUUAUGUAUAUGGUAUAUAUAUAUGCAAACUCCUUUAAGGCAAUGAGCAUAUUUAAUCAGAAUUUUUUUGUUGACUUAA